UGCCAGCCGCCGCGGUAAUACGGAGGGUGCAAACGUUGCUCGGAAUCAUUGGGCGUAAAGCGCGUGUAGGCGGCGAAGUAAGUCAGAUGUGAAAGCCCGGGGCUCAACCCCGGAAGUGCAUUUGAUACUGCUUUGCUUGAGUGUGGGAGAGGAUAGUGGAAUUCUCGGUGUAGAGGUGAAAUUCGUAGAUAUCGGGAGGAACACCAGUGGCGAAGGCAACUUUCUGGAUAGAUACUGACACUGAGGUGCGAAAGCGUGGGGAGCAAACAGGAUUAGAUA
rnacentral:rRNA from 1 species